UUUGAUCGCAUGCUCCAACGUGCUCCAAUAUGCUCCUACCAUGUUUCAGGUCUGUUCGUUUUAGUUAAAUAAAGUUCUUGCAGGGUUCAUCUUUUUUCCUUUUUUCUCCAUGUUGGAGAAAACAAAUGAACUGUAAGAAGUUGAGCUAAAAAGAACAGGCCUUUCUACUCAUAUAUACUCUAAUGAGCGCGUUUGAGUGAAUAGGAAUUGUGAUUGGAGCAUAUUGGAGCUUGUAGGCUCAUACGACGUGAAUAGGCCUAAGAAACAGCUGCGACCGAGAAGGAAAGGAAAAAAACGACGGUGAGCAUACAUGUAAGGAAAAAGAAGAGUGAAAGUGAGUGAGUGAGGGAGUGGGGUGUAGAAGAGAUGAAAAAGGAAAGAUCGCAUAUCCUCUGUACUUCUUGUUCGAUUAGCGGACGUCACGCAACUCGCAAGAAAAAUGCUGUAGGCUUGAAGUAGGAGGUUGGAGAAUGUAGGCGAUGGAGACG